AUUGAACGCUGGCGGCAGGCCUAACACAUGUAAGUCGAACGAGUGGCGGACGGGUGAGUAAUGUCUGGGAAACUGCCUGAUGGAGGGGGAUAACUACUGGAAACGGUAGCUAAUACCGCAUACCAUCAGAUGUGCCCAGAUGGGAUUAUCUAGUUGGUGGGGUAACGGCUCACCAAGGCGACGAUCCCUAGCUGGUCUGAGAGGGUGACCAGCCACACUGGAAAUGAGACACGGUCCAGAAUCCUACGGGAGGCAGCAGUGGGGAAUAUUGCACAAUGGGCGCAAGCCUGAGGCAGCCAUGACGCGUGUAUGAAGAAGGCCUUCGGGUGGUAAAGCACUUUCAGCGGGGAGGCGUUACCCGCAGAAGAAGCACCGGCUAACUCCGUGCCAGCAGCCGCGGUAAUUC
rnacentral:rRNA from 1 species